UGGGGAAUCUUGCACAAUGGGGGAAACCCUGAUGCAGCGACGCCGCGUGAGCGAUGAAGGCUUUCGAUUUGUAAAGCUCUGUCCUAUGGGAAGAUUAUGACGGUACCAUAGAAGAAAGCCCCGGCUAAUUACGUGCCAGCAGCCGCGGUUAUACGUAAGGGGCGAGUGUUGUCCAGAAUUAUUGGGCUUAAAGGGCAUCUAGGCGGUAAGACAAGUUGAAGGUGGAAACCUGUGGCUCAACCAUAGGCUUGCCUACAAAACUGUUGAACUAGAGUACUGGAAAGGUGGGUGGGACUACACGAGUAGAGGUGAAAUUCGUAGAUAUGUGUAGGAAUGCCGAUGAUGAAGAUAACUCACUGGACUGAAGCAGACGCUGAAGUGCGAAAGAUAGGGGAGCAAACAGG
rnacentral:rRNA from 1 species